UGGGGAAUCUUGCGCAAUGGGCGAAAGCCUGACGCAGCCAUGCCGCGUGAAUGAUGAAGGUCUUAGGAUUGUAAAAUUCUUUCACCGGGGACGAUAAUGACGGUACCCGGAGAAGAAGCCCCGGCUAACUUCGUGCCAGCAGCCGCGGUAAUACGAAGGGGGCUAGCGUUGCUCGGAAUUACUGGGCGUAAAGGGAGCGUAGGCGGACAUUUAAGUCAGGGGUGAAAUCCCGGGGCUCAACCUCGGAAUUGCCUUUGAUACUGGGUGUCUUGAGUAUGAGAGAGGUGUGUGGAACUCCGAGUGUAGAGGUGAAAUUCGUAGAUAUUCGGAAGAACACCAGUGGCGAAGGCGACACACUGGCUCAUUACUGACGCUGAGGCUCGAAAGCGGGGGGAGCAAACAGG
rnacentral:rRNA from 1 species